AUUCAAAUGUCUUAUAUUAGAGUAUAACAUUGAAGCUGUUAUUGAGAUAAUUUUUUAUCUUUGAAUA
rnacentral:tRNA from 1 species